rnacentral:lncRNA from 10 species
CAAGGAAGGACUUUCUGGAAUCUACUUAUCUGACCAAGAAAGCUUCUUUCCAAAAGAAAUGCAAUUGUCUUGAGACUUCUUCCCUAGGGAUCUGAUCAACUAACCAGAAAAGAGCAACCACCAGAGAAGAGACUGUGGGUGUCAUUGUGACUGGCUGCUACCUCCCCAUGAGUCUUCUAAAAUAAAACCUGCAAAUUCACAUCUUCCCCAUGCUUCCAGAGAAUGCAUAUUCUUCCUUUGAAAAAAGAAAACCAGGUAGUCGUACAGUGUCCAGAAGGCAAAAGGACAAGUAUGCACUGCCCUACUUACCUACUUUCCACACUGCUGCACAGGAAAAUCUGACAGAGGACAAUAACAAACAUCUCACCAGCUCAUGCGUUCUUUUUUGAUCCUAAUUCCGAGAGACUCACCAAAGACAUGAAGAGAAAACAAACAAUACUUUUCUUGGAAAUAUUGUAAUUGCUGGUACAUUUGUUGUUCUGGCAUAAAGUAGAAAUUGUCAGGUAAACAUUGCUUCCUUUUGGAUCAAAAAGAAAUUUAACCAAAUAAAUGCAAGAGGUAUGAGGGAAGAUAAUGGGAAAUAAAUGAGAUUUGAGAAAUCA